ACAUAAUGGUUGUGUCAAAAAAGAUAAAUAUGUUUGGUCAAUGAUUGCAUGAUUUCCAUGAAUGUACUACAAAAUGUUCAUCAAGAGAAAAUAAAUAAUUGUGUUGAGAGAACUUUUAACGUUGCACAAAAAAUAUUAUGUUGGCCGAGCAAGAGAGAACAGCGUCAAUCGUCUGAGCAUGCGCAAAGGAGUUCUACCAGGUGCAGGCAGCAGGCUGGAGUUUCCCCCACCACGAGUCACGACAUUGCACUGGUUUGUGCUGAAUUCUUCUGCAUCUACCGUAUUGACGUGAAGUUAGCCAUUCUUGACAUCGCUGGACAAUCACACCCAGGGGUUGCUAAAGAUGUACAGAGCCAAAGCAAGACAGGGAAGGUGAAACUACUUGGAUGAGCUUCUGGAACAACUGGAUGCCCAG